UUCUUUUCAGGUACCCCCGCCAGAAGGACAGGAGCACCGAGUCGCUGAGAGCCUCAGGAGUCAUCACAGAUACUAUUUGCCGUUCGUCAGGAAGAGGAGUUGCGAUGAGUUGUCCCACGCAGCUGUCAUUGCAUUUUUAGAGAGCUGAUGGCUUUAUGGUGGUGGAGUCGUCUCGUGGCAGAGAAGUCGUCAGAGAGGAUUGUGGCUCGGUCUAUCACCGAGAGAAGCCAGGUGCACCGCGUCUUGUGGCGAUAGCGUCAGGAUUGGCAGCUUGGGGCCGCCGGUUUGAGAUUUGUUGCAGAGAGCCGCCGCAACGAAAUAGGCAUGGAAAUGGAUGCAGAAAAUAGUAUUUGGUACGUUGAGUGGAUUUUAAUUUAAGGUACUUAAGGAGGAAGCUUGUCUGGGGUGAGUACUGUAUUGCUU